AUUGAACGCUGGCGGCAUGUCUUACACAUGCAAGUCGAACGGCAGCACGGGAGCAAUCCUGGUGGCGAGUGGCGAACGGGUGAGUAAUAUAUCGGAACGUGCCCAGUCGUGGGGGAUAACGCAGCGAAAGCUGUGCUAAUACCGCAUACGAUCUAUGGAUGAAAGCGGGGGAUCGCAAGACCUCGCGCGAUUGGAGCGGCCGAUAUCAGAUUAGCUAGUUGGUGGGGUAAAGGCCCACCAAGGCGACGAUCUGUAGCUGGUCUGAGAGGACGACCAGCCACACCGGAACUGAGACACGGUCCAGACUCCUACGGGAGGCAGCAGUGGGGAAUUUUGGACAAUGGGCGCAAGCCUGAUCCAGCAAUGCCGCGUGCAGGAUGAAGGCCUUCGGGUUGUAAACUGCUUUUGUACGGAGCGAAACGGUCUGCCCUAAUACGGUGGGCUAAUGACGGUACCGUAAGAAUAAGCACCGGCUAACUACGUGCCAGCCGCCGCCGUAA
rnacentral:rRNA from 1 species